CUUAAAUUUUAUUUGUUUCUUAUGGGAUGUAUUCAUUUUCUAUGGCUGCCAUAACAAAGUACCACAGACUGAGGAAUUUAAAUAACAGAAAUUAUUUUUCUCACAGUUCUGGGAAUAGAAUUUUGAGAUCAAAGUGUCAGUAGGGUUGGUUUCUUCUGAGGCCUCUCUUCUUGACUUGUAGAUGGCUUCUCCCUGUGUCUUCAUAUGGUCUUCCCUUUGUAACUGUGUGUCUCCAAAUUUCCACUUCUUAUAAACACCAGCCAUACUGAAUUAAGGUCCAGGUAAUUACCUUAUUUUACCUUAAUUACCUCUUUAAAGACCUUGUCUCCAUACACAUUCUGAGGUGCUUGGAAUUAGGACUUCAACAUAUUAAUUUUUGAAGGGAUACAAUUUAGUUUGUAGCAUGGAAGAAUAGUAACAAGAAAAAACCACUUUCAGGGAAACUGUUCUGAUUUAUUGUACAUAUGCCAAAAUCCAACUAUAUCUUGUGACUCUUGUCAACCAGGUUUGAAGAUAAUAAACUGGAAACCAGCAGUGGCAACCGGGCUCUGAACGGUUAUGUUAUUACUCUUCUCAAUUUGUUUUCAUAACAGUAGUUGGAGUUACACUUUGGCAACUGAGCACUGAUCAACAUGAGAGCUCAUAAAGUCAGCUCCCACUGAAGACUGGAUCCAAAUAACUGCAUUGCAGCCAAGCUCCAAAUUGUACCAAUAGCAGCUGACUUUGAUUCUUGCCUUUCAUGUGGUUCCACAUUCAUCCUUUCUUAAGGCAUCCACAAACAAGGCACCUCUGUUUCCUUUCACUCUCUGUACAGGCAGAAUGGAACCACUGUUUAUGCAAAAAGGUUUUACCAUUACCAGGAUAUUUUUAUGAUCCUAUGCCCUUAUGUAACUGAAGUGGUAGCCGGGAAUCAGUCUGAUAGGUUGCAGACAGCAACCAUUCAGAGGCUGGAGUGAAGUUACAAAGUUGCAAAUGAAGACUCAACCCACACUCAGUAUGAUUUGUUGCAGACAGCCAAUUUCCCAUCUGCCAGGAAGAAAAGGUCAAAAGGAGUAGCCUCUGGUCCUUCAGUUACUUAGGCAUGAAAGUUAGGGUUUUCCUUUCCAUUUAGUUCUAGGAAGUUGGCGUGAAACAGCCUUAGGUCCCCUGCCUCCAGACCCUAUUCUCUUGCCUCAUCUCCCCACUAAGAGAUGUGAUCCCCAUAAAUCUUUAUGGGAGGCAGAGGGACUGAAGGUCUUUCUUCUGUAACUGCUUCAUGCUGACUUGGGGUAUAGCCCCUACUUGUUGGAGAUCACGGAACUCUCACUCUGUUCUGUCUAGUGAAGGCAGGGUACUUUUUUUAUGGCCAGGGGUAGUGUCUUCAACUGGAACUUACUGAAAACCUUUGUUGCAUGAUCAUCUGAAGCUUGAUGGUCUCUAGGCUAGAGGAAAUGAAUUUGGUUAAAAGACUUAAUGGGAAAUUCAGGGGGUUGAUACCUAUGCUGGUAGAAAUGUUUGUUAUAGAGAUUUGUAGGAGAAAAUACAAAACCUGGUCUGUUCUAGAACCUAUGUGUUCCCUUAAAGUUUUAGCACAAGCAACUCCAUUUUGGUUUGGUUCGGUUUGUUGGGGCCUAGUGUAUGAGCUCAG
rnacentral:lncRNA from 1 species